CUCCAGAUGUUGCUGAACUACAACUCCCAUGAUUCUAUGAAAAAAAUAGAUCGGCUGAGAACCAUGGGAGUUGUAGUUCAGCAACAUCUGGAG
rnacentral:miRNA from 1 species